GUAGAUGCUCAUUCCACCCCUUAUGUUUGCUUAGGCUUCAUAAACCUGGGAAUGACGCAGAGCCACUUUACGGUACCCGUUGUCCAGCCAGCCAAUAUCGCUAACGUCUUAUUGGAAUAUCGGGCACAACGUUGAGUCGGGUACCAAUCGGUUGUCUUAACCGACCUGAUCGUUACACCUGCCCUCGGGCAGGUGUUUUUUU
rnacentral:sRNA from 1 species